rnacentral:lncRNA from 1 species
AUGUCAAAUUCACAGUGGUUACCAGUAAUCUACAUAUUCUGUAUGCUGAAAGAUGUGGCCACCGGCACUAAGGAAAUGUGGAAGAUCAACAUUACGCAACAAGAGUUUACUGUGGAAACGUCCAGUAAUAUCACCAUCGACUGCAGAGUGGAAUACCCACCACCUGAAAUGAGCAAAAAGGACAUUCAGGGCUUCUGGAAGGUGAACCGUGAAGGAAGAAUUAGCCAUUGCGAACGAAAAUCCAACGAAAUCAUCUACAAUCAUAACAAUACGUUAGUGUGGCGGAGAUUCCAGGGAAGAACUAAAGCCCUCGGGAACAUUGCGAACAACAGCUGUUCUCUAUCAAUCAGCAAGAUCCAGAAUGAGGAUCAGGGGCGCUACUACUUUAGAGUGGAGACAGGAUCUAAUAGCUACAGCUUUUGCAACAAUAUGAUCACCAUUAAAGGAACCUCCGCACCUUCGACAGACUUUAGCAUCUUUAUUUACGUGCCGAUUAUCGUGCUCGUUGUUGUGAUUGUGGCUGUAGCUGUGUUUCUCCUCAGACGAAGAAAAAGGUAGGCCUCACUAAUUUCAUUUGAUGAAGUGAUUAGUAAAACUGUUUUAUUAAUCUAGCACACUCAUGUUUUAACUAACUGCAGUCAACUCCAGAAUUAUUAGCAACAUUCAAUCAAUAUGAUGAUAGUUACAGUUUCUUCAUAUUCUUUGGUAUUUGGUUGUGACAGUCAUCUUUACACACUACAGGUUUUCAAAUUUCAGACUAUUCUUUCUUGUACAUACAUUUUUUACAUUAG